GUCCUGGUCUAGUGGUAGGCCGCGCCGCACAAUGCGGUCUUUCGAGUUGUUUCGGGUGCGGUCGGUGGUUCGACUCCACCUCAGGACA